AACAUAUACGAUCACGUGAGAUCAGUGUUUCGAUCUGUAACAUUAUAUAUGCCGGUGUUGCCUUGACUUUAUGUCCACUGUCUACAUUCCUAGACAUCAUACAAUACCUACUCUCGUCUGUUCAUACAAGUCAAAGUCUUCAUGUCGAAGCUUCCUCAUCUCCAUUGUUCUCUCCCAAGAAACCCACACCGUAGGAGCUUCGUGCGGUCGCGCUGGUGAAGCGUGCUGACAUGGUCUUCCUCACCGACGCGCGGAUCUCCGGGGAAGCCGCCGCUUCCUUCUCCGGAAUCGGAGCGAGUCGACCGGACUUCUGGUGCGGUGCUCGAUCCUUGUGUUCGUG
rnacentral:lncRNA from 1 species